AGUGAACGCUGGCGGUAGGCCUAACACAUGCAAGUCGAACGGCAGCACAGUAAGAGCUUGCUCUUACGGGUGGCGAGUGGCGGACGGGUGAGGAAUACAUCGGAAUCUACUUUUUCGUGGGGGAUAACGUAGGGAAACUUACGCUAAUACCGCAUACGACCUACGGGUGAAAGCAGGGGAUCUUCGGACCUUGCGCGAUUGAAUGAGCCGAUGUCGGAUUGGCUAGUUGGCGGGGUAAAGGCCCACCAAGGGGACGAUCCGUAGCUGGUCUGAGAGGAUGAUCAGCCACACUGGAACUGAGACACGGUCCAGACUCCUACGGGAGGCAGCAGUGGGGAAUAUUGGACAAUGGGCGCAAGCCUGAUCCAGCCAUACCGCGUGGGUGAAGAAGGCCUUCGGGUUGUAAAGCCCUUUUGUUGGGAAAGAAAAGCAGCAGGUUAAUACCCCGCUGUUCUGACGGUACCCAAAGAAUAAGCACCGGCUAACUUCGUG
rnacentral:rRNA from 1 species